AUUACGGAGAGUUUGAUUCUGGCUCAGAACGAACGCUGGCGGCGCGUCUUAAACAUGCAAGUCGGACGGGAACCUCGGUGCUUGCAUUGAGGGGAGAGUGGCGAACGGG
rnacentral:rRNA from 1 species